rnacentral:rRNA from 1 species
GAUGAACGCUAGCGGCAGGCUUAAUACAUGCAAGUCGAGGGGCAGCACAGGUAGCAAUACUGGGUGGCGACCGGCAAACGGGUGCGGAACACGUACGCAACCUUCCUUUAAGUGGGGGAUAGCCCAGGGAAACUUGGAUUAAUACCCCUUAACAUUAUGAGAUGGCAUCAUUUUAUAAUUAAAGCUCCGGCGCUUAAAGAUGGGCGUGCGCCUGAUUAGGUAGUUGGCGGGGUAACAGCCCACCAAGCCUACGAUCAGUAACUGGUGUGAGAGCACGACCAGUAACACGGGCACUGAGACACGGGCCCGACUCCUACGGGAGGCAGCAGUAAGGAAUAUUGGUCAAUGGACGCAAGUCUGAACCAGCCAUGCCGCGUGGGGGAUGACGGCCCUCUGGGUUGUAAACUCCUUUUAUCUGGGAAGAAAUGCAGAUUUUCUAAUCUGUUUGACGGUACCAGAGGAAUAAGCACCGGCUAACUCCGUGCCAGCCGCCGCAGUAA